rnacentral:rRNA from 1 species
GUAACAAGGUCUCCGUUGGUGAACCAGCGGAGGGAUCAUUAUAGAGUUUUCUAAACUCCCAACCCAUGUGAACUUACCUUUUGUUGCCUCGGCAGAAGUUAUAGGUCUUCUUAUAGCUGCUGCCGGUGGACCAUUAAACUCUUGUUAUUUUAUGUAAUCUGAGCGUCUUAUUUUAAUAAGUCAAAACUUUCAACAACGGAUCUCUUGGUUCUGGCAUCGAUGAAGAACGCAGCGAAAUGCGAUAAGUAAUGUGAAUUGCAGAAUUCAGUGAAUCAUCGAAUCUUUGAACGCACAUUGCGCCCAUUAGUAUUCUAGUGGGCAUGCCUGUUCGAGCGUCAUUUCAACCCUUAAGCCUAGCUUAGUGUUGGGAAUCUACUUCUCUUAGGAGUUGUAGUUCCUGAAAUACAACGGCGGAUUUGUAGUAUCCUCUGAGCGUAGUAAUUUUUUUCUCGCUUUUGUUAGGUGCUAUAACUCCCAGCCGCUAAACCCCCAAUUUUUUGUGGUUGACCUCGGAUCAGGUAGGAAUACCCGCUGAACUUAAGCAUAUCA